rnacentral:rRNA from 1 species
CGAGGCUGUGAAGCGGAGCAAAUCUCAAAAACCGGUCCCAGUUCGGAUUGUAGGCUGCAACUCGCCUACAUGAAGUCGGAGUUGCUAGUAAUCGCGGAUCAGAAUGCCGCGGUGAAUGCGUUCCCGGGUCUUGUACACACCGCCCGUCACACCAUGGAAGUUGGGGGCGCCCGAAGUUGCCUAAGAAAUAAGGUACCUAAGGCGAAACCAAUGACUGGGGUGAAGUCGUAACAAGGUAGC